CACACUAGUACAUUUAAUGGCACAAUAAUUUACAAACAUAUAAACUGCAGCAACGAAACACUUGUAACCUCGACUAGGCCCGCAGUCAGCAGGGGGCGGGGGGCAAGGGAAAAAGAAAACAAGAGAGAGACAAAAUAUUCGGCACUUUGACGGAGGGACUAAACCUCAAACACGACUCGACUCCACAACGCCCACGACACGACCUUCCUCGUUGGGACACAGAUCCAGAACUCGAGACGAUUCCACGAUCGGGGCAAAAGGCUCCAAAAGUACGAAUCGUCAAGAGGGUGUCAAGUGUGUGUGUGUGCGGUGUGAGUCAAGAAAGAUAAGUGGGGCCACGCUCAAAAGUAUGCUGUCUCUUCCCUGUACUUCUCCCUAACUUGAAAUUUGAUUUGAAAUCCCCUGUGAUUUUGUCAACUUGAUGUUUUGUUGGCUGUUAUGCGGUAUGUGGUCUUCAGUCCCCUCUACUACCCUUGCCGCCUGCUGAGGGCAGACGACUAGGAAUGUAUCAUGUACAUGUGGGCGGGCAGUUUAUAGGGAACGUAGUGGAUUUAUGCGAAGACUAGCAAAUUUGGCUCAAUUUAGGCCGUAGUGGUGGGGUGUGGCGGCAACUGAUGCUGAUUUGAAAAUCGAUUACGAAACCGAUAAUCAAUUCUCAGCACCGUUGCCGCCGAAGAUUUAUCACAGAUUGUGAUAAUUUUUUAGUGGGGUGUCGGAGAACCGACUAAUUACGAUAAUAACAAUGGGGGGGGGAAGAAAGGGUUAAAGAAAUGAUAUCGAAAAUUCAGAAAGUGCAGUGUUGCAACACGUAGUCAAUUGAGGAAUAGAUAGAGAGAAAAGGUAAACAAUGCAUGUGCUUUGCAUGGAAAAUAAGUGGAAAGACACUAAAUAAAAAAGAGACAAGCACUUGCAGUAAUAACAAUACAGGUAAGUAGCAGACUGGAGUGGAGACGACGGAAAAACAUGUAAUAAAAGAGAUACUACACUGGAACAAAGACGAGACAAUACAGCUACAGGGAAGACUAGAAGCAUCGGCCGGCAUAGCAAAACACAAUGCUUGUAAA
rnacentral:sRNA from 1 species